rnacentral:misc_RNA from 1 species
GAUGAAGAACGCAGUGAAACGCGAUAUGUAAUGUGAAUUGCAGAAUUCAGUGAAUCAUCGAAUCUUUGAACGCACAUGGCGCCUUCCAGUAUCCUGGGAGGCAUGCCUGUCCGAGCGUCGUUUCAACCCUCGAGCCCCCGUGGCCCGGCGUUGGGGAUCUGCCCAGGCAGUCCCCGAAAACCAGUGGCGGACCCGUUACAGGCCCUUCCCUUGCGUAGUAGCAUUCGCCUCGCAUCGGGAGCCGGCGGGCUUCCAGCCUCUAAACCCCCAUCAAGUCCGCCCCGGCGGCACCAAGGUUGACCUCGUAUCAGGUAGGAAUACCCGCUGAACUUAAGCAUAUCAAUAAGCGGAGGA